AAAAAGUAUGUUCUUACACCUGGUUUUUCUUUUUUUUGCGAAUAGUAUGUUCUUACACCUGGACCUAUGUGUUAUCUUGUUCGCCAUGCCAUCUCUUCUAUCUUCUAAAAUACUAAAAGAAAAAAGAACAAACUUAGCUCACCGCAGCCGUGUUUAGGAUUUCCCUUGUUCAAAACUAGAAGAAAAACCAAACGGAACGCCACACAUUUGCCAACAAAAUGUUGUUUCGGACAUAAUUAAUGCCGCCAUGUGGCCAACUGUUCAUUUCGGUCUAUUCAUAUGGACAGUCGGGGGCUUUCGUAUUUCAUAGUCAGAGGUGAAAUUCUUGGAUUUAUGAAAGACGAACAACAGCGAAAGCAUUUGCCAAGGAUGUUUUCAUUAAUCAAGAACAAAAAUUGGGGGCUCGAAGGCGAUCAGAUACCGUCUUAGUCUCAACCAUAAACGACGCCGACCAGGGAUCGGUAGAUGUUGCUUAUAGGACUCCGCCGGCACCUUAUGAGAAAUCAAAGUCUUUGGGUU
rnacentral:ncRNA from 2 species